rnacentral:rRNA from 1 species
ACUCCUACGGGAGGCAGCAGUGGGGAAUUUUGGACAAUGGGGGCAACCCUGAUCCAGCAAUGCCGCGUGUGUGAAGAAGGCCUUCGGGUUGUAAAGCACUUUUGUCCGGAAAGAAAACCGCUUCUCUAAUACAGGGGCGGGAUGACGGUACCGGAAGAAUAAGCACCGGCUAACUACGUGCCAGCAGCCGCGGUAAUACGUAGGGUGCAAGCGUUAAUCGGAAUUACUGGGCGUAAAGCGUGCGCAGGCGGUUCGCUAAGACCGAUGUGAAAUCCCCGGGCUUAACCUGGGAACUGCAUUGGUGACUGGCGGGCUAGAGUAUGGCAGAGGGGGGUAGAAUUCCACGUGUAGCAGUGAAAUGCGUAGAGAUGUGGAGGAAUACCGAUGGCGAAGGCAGCCCCCUGGGCCAAUACUGACGCUCAUGCACGAAAGCGUGGGGAGCAAACAGGAUUAGAUACCCUGGUAGUCCACGCCCUAAACGAUGUCAACUAGUUGUCGGGUCUUCAUUGACUUGGUAACGAAGCUAACGCGUGAAGUUGACCGCCUGGGGAGUACGGUCGCAAGAUUAAAACUUAAAGGAAUUGACG